rnacentral:rRNA from 1 species
AGUGAACGCUGGCGGUAGGCCUAACACAUGCAAGUCGAACGGCAGCACAGUAAGAGCUUGCUCUUACGGGUGGCGAGUGGCGGACGGGGGAGGAAUACAUCGGAAUCUACUUUUUCGUGGGGGAUAACGUAGGGGAACUUACGCCAAUAACGCAUACGACCUACGGGUGAAAGCAGGGGAUCUUCGGACCUUGCGCGAUUGGAUGAGCCGAUGUCGGAUUAGCUAGUUGGCGGGGUAAAGGCCCACCAAGGCGACGAUCCGUAGCUGGUCUGAGAGGAUGAUCAGCCACACUGGAACUGAGACACGGUCCAGACUCCUACGGGAGGCAGCAGUGGGGAAUAUUGGACAAUGGGCGCAAGCCUGAUCCAGCCAUACCGCGUGGGUGAAGAAGGCCUUCGGGUUGUAAAGCCCUUUUGUUGGGAAAGAAAAGCAGCAGGUUAAUACCCCGCUGUUCUGACGGUACCCAAAGAAUAAGCACCGGCUAACUUCGUG